rnacentral:rRNA from 1 species
UGCUCCAUGUAAUAUAAAUAGCCGCAGACCUCUGUGCUAAGGUAGCAUAAUAAAUAGCCCUUUAAUUCAGGGAUAGUAAUGAAAGAACAAACAAAUCAAAAACUUUAUUAUUAUUAAAAUUUAAAACUUAAUUAAAAGUAAAAAUUCUUUUAUUAUAUAGAAAGACAACAAGACCCUAUCGAACUUUACAAUGUUAAACUGGGGCGGUUUAAUAAAUAUACCUUCUUUUAACUAAUAGACCCAAUACUAUUGAAUACAUGAUCAAGUUACCGUAGGGAUAACAGCACUAUUUAAAAUUAAAGAUCUCAUUACAUUUUAAGUUUAUGACCUCGAUGUUGAAUAGAAUAACUAUUUAAAGCAAUCUUUAAAAAAGUAAGUCUGUUCGACUUUUAAUUUUCUACA